GCGGGUGUCGUAUAGCGGUUAUUAUUUCUUCCUUCCAAGAAGAAGACGGCGGUUCGACUCCGCUCACCCGCU
rnacentral:tRNA from 1 species